AGGUGCUUGGUACAACCAUGGACAGAAGACGCACUGCAUGGUUAGAUCAAGCACAAUG
ensembl:miRNA gmo-mir-218b gmo-mir-218b